UACGUAGGGGGCUAGCGUUGUCCGGAUUUAUUGGGCGUAAAGAGCGUGUAGGCGGCCAGGUAGGUCUGGUGUGAAAACUCGAGGCUUAACCUCGAGAUGUCAUCGGAAACCAUCUGGCUAGAGUCCGGAAGAGGAAAGUGGAACUCCUGGUGUAGCGGUGAAAUGCGCAGAUAUCAGGAAGAACACCAAUGGCGAAAGCAGCUUUCUGGGACGGUACUGACGCUGAGACGCGAAAGCGUGGGGAGCGAACAGG
rnacentral:rRNA from 1 species